CCUACGGGAGGCAGCAGUGGGGAAUAUUGGACAAUGGGGGGAACCCUGAUCCAGCCAUGCCGCGUGUGUGAAGAAGGCCCUCGGGUUGUAAAGCACUUUCAGGGAGGAAGAACGCCUGGUGGUUAAUACCCAUCAGGAAAGACAUCACUCACAGAAGAAGCACCGGCUAACUCCGUGCCAGCAGCCGCGGUAAUACGGAGGGUGCGAGCGUUAAUCGGAAUUACUGGGCGUAAAGCGCGCGUAGGUGGCUUGAUAAGCCGGUUGUGAAAGCCCCGGGCUCAACCUGGGAACGGCAUCCGGAACUGUCAAGCUAGAGUGCAGGAGAGGAAGGUAGAAUUCCCGGUGUAGCGGUGAAAUGCGUAGAGAUCGGGAGGAAUACCAGUGGCGAAGGCGGCCUUCUGGACUGACACUGACACUGAGGUGCGAAAGCGUGGGUAGCAAACAGGAUUAGAUACCCUUGUAGUC
rnacentral:rRNA from 1 species